AGGCGAGUGGCUCAACUGGUAGAGCAUCGGACUCCAAAUCCGGCGGUUGGGGGUUCAAAUCCCUCCUCGCCUGCCA
rnacentral:tRNA from 1 species